CUAGGUGAUCUUGGAUGUAGCAGGCACCAUGACUACUUGUCACCAUCCCAUUUCGAAGGGGAUGCCCUCAAUCUCAUCAACAUAAUCAACAGCAACGUACCGUGUAACGGGUCAAGGGAUGCGACAUUCACGCCAUGUGGUCUGGGUGCCUGUUUACUCUUUGUCGGUACACGCUAUGACACCUCCCCGCAAGGGACGAACCUGAAGAAGCGAUUCGUACACUUACACGUGCGCCUGCAACCAGGCAACAUCGUGCUUAGUACAGUGCUGUGCAGAAAGCAGAACAAGCCGCAGCUCGCCGUCGACGCCGGGUGGACAGUUCAGACCGUUCUCGGAAAAACGACGCGAAGAUACUUCGCCGCUCAGACCUGAAAACGGACAUCCGAGUCAACUUUCUUGUUACUGGAGGUGGACCAGACAUGUGCGUUGCACACAUAAAUGAUGACACCUCUCAUUCGAUUCCAGCCCAAGUUGUGUACAGCGACUACGAAAACUGCGUUGUUCUGAAAAUGUUCAUUGGACAAAGAGAAGUAUGCUUACUCUGGGAAGCUAAAGGAACAGAAAAUACUGUCCCCAAGAAUUGCCUGGACGGAUACAAGAAGAGCUGCGGCGACGGCGUGACUUUGUACAGCGAUGACACCUGCAAUACCUACUAGAGUAAAAAUUGAAGAACAAAAAUUACAUCGAAUAGAAAUAAAUUUUUGCAUCAUAUAUCCGGACUUCUCACCUGGUAUAUGACUGAAACAGUUUUAUGAAGACGAAGGUUGAAAUUGGACGCCUUCUUGAAACGCUGCUAAGCUUUCAUUAUUUGGUAUUUGUUGACGAUGAGCGAUUAUUCAUUUCAAGAAGAGUGUAAACACUCCAAUAGUGUAUUCUCUAAUUGCAUUCAAAUCGAUUGGCUUUUAAUAUUCGGCUCUGAUAUGGCUCGAUAAUACACUAUUCGGAUUUGUUGAAUAUAUGGAGUAACGACUAGCUGUUAAAAAAGCCAGGCGGAGAAAUACCGAAGCAUACUAUGACUCUUCUUACUAGUUCACCUGCAGGAGACAAGAGGGUGGUGCACCGAGGGGCCUGAAUAAAUG